CCCUGGGAAGCCAGGGAAGAAUGAAGGCUAUGAUUGGCCUCUCCGGGGCGGCUUGUUUGAAAGGCCGAGGGGGAAGGGGCAACUGAUCUGAAAGUAGUUGAGGGGCCUUGAUGUCUCUCCUAACUCGCUUUUCCCGGACGGCAACCUAGGAGAGAGGUUCUAACCGGUUGACUCUACUCCCUCCUGCCACUUAGGUGGGACCUCUUACAGGCAGACUCGGAUGUCCCAGGGCUUCGAGGCUGGAGUGCAUUUGGGACAAGAGAAGGACUCUGAAACCAUGAAACUAAAAAAGGAGAAACCAAGGGCUAUCAAGUUUUAUAAAUUACAAUCCAGUCCCCCAAAAAGUUACAAAGUUCUCAGGAAACUCCUGCCCGAACUUGGGUGAAAGGCACCGGAAGAUGCCUUCGGGGAAGAUGGCGGCGCUGCUACUGCACCGCCUUUGCCUGGAACACAGGCAGCUUCCAGCUAUCGAUUUUAUUGACCGGAGCGCCAUGCCGGCUCCCUAACCUCUCUGCCCUCAAGUGUAAUGGCGCUGCGAUUGGGCUUCACGACCCUUUUCUUCGCGUCCCCAUUCCAAGCGUUCAUUGGGCGUUGGCGAAGAUCGAACGUUCUGAUUGGGUGCUGGCAACGGCGCCUGUUUGAACGAAGCCAACAGAUGCGUAAGGGCAGGAAGCCGGUCCCCCAGCGCUGGCCGCGGCCCUGAGUUGUGAAGCAGGCUGCGGCGACCCAGGAUCAGUGGACGGCCCUCCGGCUGUGUUUCACCGCUCUCUGGCAGGCUCAGCCUAUCUCUGAAUUAGGGAAGGAUUUGAGCGGCAGAGCCCCUCGGGCCAAGCCGGAGCUGAGAUUAUCGUUGGUUCUUUUUGUGGUUUUCUCAGCGCAUCCUUCGUUUUGGAUGAUGGUUAACUUUAUUGUUACCCUUUUAGGGGAGGAAAUUAACGUUAUUGUUUCCUGGGGGCAGGCGGCAUGCCCAACAUAUUACACAUUUCCUCUUAUUUAUUCUUUGCUACCAUUCUGUGAACUGGUGGUUAUCCUCCGGUCCUACCGUUGAGGAAACGAUCUCAGAGGGAUUCCAUGAGUUUCCAGGGUCACAUUGCUGGUAAAGAGGAGGGACAAAGAUUUAAACCUGGGGCUGACAGGGUGUUUAUUCACACCACUGAACUGGGCAUAUUUUUUAACACUAUCCUAAUUUGCUUGCCAACCCAGGAAUUCCUCAGCUCUUGGUCUCUUCUAAGGUUCAAUCUUCUGCAUAAUCUCUAUACAUUAUUUUUACAUGACAUUUGUGCAAUGCACAAAACAUAGUGCUAGGCAGUUAGGAGAUGCAGGGUUACAGAAAUAAGUCAUGGGCUGUUCUUUGAAUGGAGUUUACAGUCUAGUGAGGCAUAUAAAUUCACAACUACUGGUAAUAGUGUUAGAGCCGGUUUCCCUCGGCCCCGGGAACAGAAGGACAGAGUCACUGAGGCUGCAAAAGGCAAAGGAGUUUUAUUUACU